rnacentral:rRNA from 1 species
UACGGAGGAGGCAAGCGUUAUCCGGAAUUAUUGGGCGUAAAGCGUCCGUAGAUGGUUUUGUCAGUCUGCUGUCAAAGCACAGGGCUUAACCCUGUAAAGGCAGUGGAAACUACAAGACUAGAGUGCAGUAGGGGCAGAGGGAAUUCCCAGUGUAGCGGUGAAAUGCGUAGAGAUUGGGAAGAACACCCGUGGUGAAAGCGCUCUGCUGGACUGCAACUGACAUUGAGGGACGAAAGCUAGGGGAGCGAAUGGG